rnacentral:rRNA from 1 species
UGAGGAAUAUUGGUCAAUGGGCGAGAGCCUGAACCAGCCAAGUAGCGUGCAGGACGACGGCCCUAUGGGUUGUAAACUGCUUUUGCGCGGGGAUAAAGUGCGCCACGUGUGGCUCAUUGCAGGUACCGCGCGAAUAAGGACCGGCUAAUUCCGUGCCAGCAGCCGCGGUAAUACGGAAGGUCCGGGCGUUAUCCGGAUUCAUUGGGUUUAAAGGGAGCGCAGGCCGCCGGGCAAGCGUGUUGUGAAAUGCAGUCGCUCAACGUCUGCACUGCAGCGCGAACUGCCCAGCUUGAGUGCGCGCAACGUUGGCGGAAUUCGCCGUGUAGCGGUGAAAUGCUUAGAUAUGGCGAAGAACUCCGAUUGCGAAGGCAGCUGACGGGUGCGUAACUGACGCUCAUGCUCGAAAGUGCGGGUAUCGAACAGGAUUAGAUACCCUGGUAGU